AUGUGGAAUGAUGAUCUUCAAGUUCAUGUGCAUACGGCUUCCUUCUACAUUAUCUUAGCGAGCGUAGUUCAUGUAGCAACAGGUAGGGAUUUUGGUCUAGUUUUCAUCUAUGGUGAUCCUUAUCAUAGACAAACUGAUGUGAUGUGGGAUCAGAUUUCAAAUUUUAUGUAUGAUAAUCCUGGAAAGCCAAUGUUAUGUAUGGGUGAUCUUAAUGAGCUUUUGUAUGAUAUGGAUAAAAGUAAUGCUAAUGUGAAUUAUCGUCGCAUGUAUGCUUUUCGUGCUUUGGUUAAGAAUUGUGGUUUUUUUGAUAUGGGAUUUUCAGGGCCUGCUUAUACUUGGACUAACAGGAGAUUUUCUUCUAAACCUACUUAUGAAAUGCUGGAUAGAGGUUUAGUUAAUCCUGAUUGGUGUUCUUAG
rnacentral:rRNA from 1 species